GUUAAACUGGUGUAUUUCGCUGCAGGUUUAAGGUGUAAGUUUGUCGUAAUUUUGUUAACAAACUACAAAUUACGCUCAUAGAUAUGGCUAGUUUGAAGUAUGUGACCACAGAGGCGGUAUAUGUUCACUAUUUGACUAUCUGUAUAUCUGUUCAUACUGCAACUUGGGAUAUAACUUGUUCCUUUUUCCUUUUUGCUUUGAUGGAAGCUCAUAAGGAAGCUAUACAUUAUAACAUGUACACUGGUAAAAAACACCCAGACAUGUGUAUGGAAUUUUCGGAGCCCUGAUACUGAAAUCCAAGACUUCCGUGUGUCGAUCCCAGCUAGUGAAUGUUUGGUCUGGACUAGUGGACAUUAUCAUCUGUAUUACUAUCACAUAUAGGACACUAGCUAGCGACUUUCUCAUAUGCUUGUUGAACACCAAGACCACAAAUGUGAUAUACACGUAAAACAAUUGGUCUCUUCAUUAAAAGGACUAUCCUGAGUAAAGUGAGUUUUGUACCAUAUAGGGCAUAAGCCAACACUUUUGUGAGAGCUAGUGACUUUCUCAAACAUUUUGUCGAACACUGCCACGGCAUCUGAUCAGCAGUAUGAGUAAUAUUCAGGGAUGAUACAAUUUUCAAUUCUGAAGUCUGUUCAAAGUGCUUUGAACACCAGUCUCUUCUAGACAUAGGCAACAUGUGUGCCCAUCGCGACAAGAGACACUUCAAAUGUGGAAUUUGCUUCAAGUCUAGUCAAAGUGCCACGAACACCAGUCUCUUCUAGACAUACCCAGCAUGCGUGCCCAUCACAAGAGACCCUUCAAAUGUGGAAUGUGCUUCAAGUUUGUUCAAAGUGCUAUGAACACCAGUCUCUUCUAAACACCCAAAAUGCGUGCCCAUCAGGGCAAGAGACCCUUCCAAUGUGGAAUGUGCUUCAAGUCUGGUCAAAGUGCCAUGAACACCAGUCUCUUCUAGACGCCCAACAUGCGUGCCCAUCACGGCAAGAGACCCUUCCAAUGUGGAAUGUGCUUCAAAGACUUCUCAUCCAAGACCUGCAUUAAGAAACACAUGCAGCUUCACAAUGGGUCAAAACCAUUUAAGUGUGAGGUGUGUGAGAAAUCGUUUGCAGUGGGUGCCUACUUAAAACAGCACAUGUUGACUCACACUGGCGUGAAACCGUACAAAUGUGAAGUGUGCACAAAAUGUUUUACACACAAGUUUAACCUACAUCUGCAUGCAAGGAUUCAUAGCGUGAAACCUUUCCAGUGUAAAUUGUGCACAAAGUGCUUUAAAACGUCGACUGAGAAGCAGCUGCAUAGUAUGUCGAUUCAUACCGACGAGAAACCUUUCAGAUGUAAGAUGUGCACCAAAUGUUUCAAAAACAGAGACGGUCUGAAACAACACACGUUGACUCAUACGAGUGAGAAAACAUUCAUGUGCGAUGUGUGUACAAAAUGUUUUGCGCGGAGACCCGGCUUAAAACUCCAUAUGAUGGUUCAUACUGGAGAGAAACCUUUCAAAUGUGAAAGGUGCCCAAGAUGUUUUACACAGAGAUCCAACUUGAAGCAGCACGUGUUAGUUCACACUGGUGAAAGGCCUUUCGAAUGUGAAGUGUGCAAAAAGUGGUUUAAAAAUUCCACCGUUUUGAGGCUACACGCGAUGAUUCAUACUGGAGAGAAACCGUUCAAAUGUGGAAUUUGCACAAAAUGUUUUGCACAGAGAUCCAACCUGAACCAGCAUAUGUUACUUCACACUGGCGAGAGACCUUACAGAUGUGAAAUGUGUGAGAAAACUUUCACCGAGUCUUCCAGCUUGAAAAAACACAUAACCGUUCAUACCGGUGAACGACCUUUCAAAUGCGAGGAAUGUGCACAGUGUUUUUCACAACGGCCCAAUUUGAAACAGCACGUGUUGUUGGUUCAUAGUGGUGGUAAGCCUUUUAAAUGUGAUAUGUGCACGGGAUCUUUUACGAAGAGUUCAGGACUGAAGAAGCACAUGAAGUUUCACAAAUGCGAGGUCUGCACGAACUGCUCUGCACAGUGUGCGAGUUUGGAAGAACAUGUGUGUUGCUGGUGAAAACUGUGUCAAUAACCAGUGAUAUGAUAUUGACGAUACCGAAAAACACUGGAUUUUCUCUCCUAAAAGUAGUUCACCAAAAGCGCUGGAUCGUUUUGUGUUAUACAGAGAUGACGAUGGAGAUGGAAUAUUCGUCAGCAAGGACCACUAUAGGACAAGAAGCGACUGCAGCCGUGCUGUGCAUCACGUCGAAAAACCAAGAGUUUUUUUAAAAACAAACCAGAACGAAAUAAUUCGAAUCAUGUGUUCCUAUGUGCGCCAUUACCUACCUACCUCCCCAUCAUAUUGCUAGCAAGGACGAGAGACGCAAAAAGGAAUUGGCGGAACACUUGUUGGUUAAAAUGUUUCUCGCGGACAUCGAGAAAGCUAUAUACCAAAUCAACCAUGAUCAAAUGAUGAUGACAAUGCCUUCUGGAAGUCAGGAGACGGCGAUGGAUGAUCGUCCAUCAGGCGAAAAAACCCCCAGUAGAUACCAUGACAAGAUGAUGAUGACAACGCCACCUGAAAGUCAGGAUGCAGCGAUGGAAGAUCACCCAUCAGGCAAAAACAAAUGUAGAGACCAUGACAAGAUGAUGAUGACAACGCCUCCUGCAAAUCAAGAGGUAGCGAUGGAAUAUCACCCAUCAUGCGAGGAAAACGUACAGUUACAUUUUGAGAAUGUUUUCAAAUCACUCGAUAGAAAAGAAAUUAUUUCAAGAUGGCAAGAAUAUAUAUGCAAACAUUUUUCAAUGAUUCAUGACAUCUGGUGUUGGAGAUUUCAAUACAACAAUGGUUUCAAUUUUUUUUUCAAUGCUUCAAAGAUUAAAGAAAUGAAACGUGCACUCACAAUUAGGAUGAUGUGAACACAUACUCAUUACUAGUAGUUUAUACAUAUUCGCAUUUAUUCUUUAGCAUAGGUCCAUCAUAUUACAUGUAAUUUCAUAAUAAAUUUGUAUAUACUACUACUAAUAAUAAUAACCAAACAAUUAAUAUCACUUUGGGAAUGAAUUCCCAUUGUAUUUAUUUUCUCAAAUAAAUUUUUCUGUAUACCUGGUAUUUUAUUAGGUGACGUUUUUGCAUACAUAUGUUUUUUCUUGUGAAUAUUUUUAUUGUAUCCUUUUUUAAAAAUUAAAUAUUUGUUAU